rnacentral:rRNA from 1 species
CUACGGGUCGCUGCAGUGAGGAAUAUUGCACAAUGGAGGAAACUCUGAUGCAGCAACGCCGCGUGGAGGAUGACGCAUUUCGGUGUGUAAACUCCUUUUAUAUGUCAAGAAAAUGACGGUAGCAUAUGAAUAAGCACCGGCUAACUCCGUGCCAGCAGCCGCGGUAAUACGGAGGGUGCAAGCGUUACUCGGAAUCACUGGGCGGAAAGGACGCGUAGGCGGGAUAUCAAGUCAGGUGUGAAAUCCUACAGCUUAACUGUAGAACUGCACUUGAAACUUCUAAUCUAGAGUAUGGGAGGGGAGAUGGAAUUAGUGGUGUAGGGGUAAAAUCCGUAGAUAUCACUAGGAAUACCUAAAGCGAAGGCGAUCUCCUGGAACAUUACUGACGCUAAGGCGUGAAAGCGUGGGGAGCAAACAGGAUUAGAUACCCUAGUAGUC